rnacentral:lncRNA from 1 species
AUUGCCGCUCACACACACGCAUACACGUAAGCGGAUAAUGGCACCCUCGCACACACACACACACACAUACACAAAGACACACACACAAAGACACACACCGGAUAGAGAACGGAAGAGAAACUGAAGCCAGAACUGUGGCCACGUGCACGGUGAAGUUUUUUUGUUCGUGUUUCGAUGCGCCUGAACGCGUCGCUUGUGUCCUUAACGCCCGAAUGUAUU